UGCCCUAGUAACGGCGAGUGAAGCGGCAACAGCUCAAAUUUGAAAUCUGGCUUUCGGGCCCGAGUUGUAAUUUGUAGAGGAUGACUUUGAUGCGGUGCCUUCCGAGUUCCCUGGAACGGGACGCCAUAGAGGGUGAGAGCCCCGUCUGGUUGGAUGCCAAAUCUCUGUAAGUCUCCUUCGACGAGUCGAGUAGUUUGGGAAUGCUGCUCUAAAUGGGAGGUAUAUGUCUUCUAAAGCUAAAUACCGGCCAGAGACCGAUAGCGCACAAGUAGAGUGAUCGAAAGAUGAAAAGCACUUUGAAAAGAGAGUUAAAAAGUACGUGAAAUUGUUGAAAGGGAAGCGUUUAUGACCAGACUUGGGCUUGGUUAAUCAUCUGGGGUUCUCCCCAGUGCACUUUUCCAGUCCAGGCCAGCAUCAGUUUUCGCCGGGGGAUAAAGACUUCGGGAAUGUGGCUCCUCUCGGGGAGUGUUAUAGCCCGUUGUGUAAUACCCUGGCGGGGACUGAGGUUCGCGCUUCUGCAAGGAUGCUGGCGUAAUGGUCAUCAACGACCCGUCUUGAAACACGGACCAAGGAGUCGUCUUCGUAUGCGAGUGUUCGGGUGUAAAACCCCUACGCGUAAUGAAAGUGAACGCAGGUGAGAGCUUCGGCGCAUCAUCGACCGAUCCUGAUGUUCUCGGAUGGAUUUGAGUAAGAGCAUACGGGGCCGGACCCGAAAGAAGGUGAACUAUGCCUGUGUAGGGUGAAGCCAGAGGAAACUCUGGUGGAGGCUCGCAGCGGUUCUGACGUGCAAAUCGAUCGUCAAACAUGGGCAUG
rnacentral:rRNA from 1 species